GAUGAACGCUGGCGGCGUGCCUAAUACAUGCGAGUCGAGCGAACGGACGAGAAGCUUGCUUCUCUGAUGUUAGCGGCGGACGGGUGAGUAACACGUGGCUAACCUACCUAUAAGACUGGGAUAACUUCGGGAAACCGGAGCUAAUACCGGAUCAUAUUUUGAACCGCAUGGUUCAAAAGUGAAAGACGGUCUUGCUGUCACUUAUAGAUGGAUCCGCGCUGGAUUAGCUAGUUGGUAAGGUAACGGCUUACCAAGGCAACGAUGCAUAGCCGACCUAAGAGGGUGAUCGGCCACACUGGAACUGAGACACGGUCCAGACUCCUACGGGAGGCAGCAGUAGGGAAUCCUCCGCAAUGGGCGAAAGCCUGACGGAGCAACGCCGCGUGAGUGAUGAAGGUCUUCGGAUCGUAAAACUCUGUUAUUAGGGAAGAACAUAUGUGUAAGUAACUGUGCACAUCUUGACGGUACCUAAUCAGAAAGCCACGGCUAACUACGUG
rnacentral:rRNA from 1 species